AAGCCCCACCGACUGUCCUUUGGUCUAAGUUAUUUUUUUGAUGAUUUUUGGGGGAUUUUCCGGCGCGAUCCUAGCGUCGCGCUACUCUCGGACAGGUUAUCCCUUCUCUCCCGCUAGAUUGAUGAGAUCAGGCAUC
rfam:Rattus norvegicus strain BN/SsNHsdMCW Contig51025, whole genome shotgun sequence.